GCCGGCGGCCAGCAUGGGGGGCGAGGAGCCCGAGCCGGACUUCGAGAGCGCCCCCGAGACGGACCCCCGGGCUCGGCUGCUGGGGGCGCGCGUGGCGAGCAGCCUGCGCGUGGAGCCCGAGCGCUGGGAGCGUUGCGCGGGGAGCCCCGAUGCGCGGCCGCUGCUGCGCGCUUUCCUCGACGGCGACCCGGCCAAGCGGCUGCUGCUCGUCACGCCGGGCGCAGGGGGCCAGUUGGCGCUGGCCGACCGGCUGGCUGUGGCGCCCGGCACCGGUCGCUCUGGCAAGGGGGUCUUCCUGCUGCGCCUCGCCCCCGGGCCGCUGCGCUCCCCGCCGGCUCCCGGGCACCUGCUCUAUGGAGACCUGUCCUCCGCGCCCCUGGAGCACCUCGCAGCCCUCGUGGAGGAGGUAGUGGUGCCACUCUUGGGGAACCAGAAAAACCAUCCCAACUGGCCCCAUGUGGUGUCACAGGAUAUCGUCCACCACAUCUGCAAUCUGAAAAGUAGUGUUUUUGUAGUUGUUGGACAAAUUAAAGGCAAGACUUUGCUGCCGCUCCCUGCUGACCCUGAAAGAGACCCAUAUAUAGAUUCUGACAAUGAGAAAACCACUGAACUCGUGGAUAAAUCUAUUGUCCAUGCAAUUGAAUCAGCUGUUAUUGAAUGGACCCACCAGAUCCAGGGAGUUCUAAAGAGAGAGUCUUCAGAACCACUUUUGCAAGGCCAAGAUCCCAGUCCAAAGGUGGAGCUGGAUUUUUGGAAAAGCAGAUUUGAAGAUCUGCAGUGCAUUUACAGCCAGCUGAAAGCCAGAAGGGUUUUGACCAUGAUGGAGCUUCUUGACAGAGUGCAGAGCACCUACUUUCCAGCAUUCAGGUCCAUUUUCAGAGAUGUAGAAGCAGCUUUGGUUGAGGCCCACGAUAUAAAUGUGCACCUAAAGCCCCUAGAGCGCCCUCUAGAGGAAAUAGAAAAUGUGGAAUUCAACGAGCUGAAGCCAUUACUAAACCAAGUACUUCAUGUGGUGUGCUUAAUCUGGGCCACGUCCAAAUAUUACAGCACACCUGCAAGGAUAAUUGUACUGCUUCAGGAAACCUGCAGUCUCCUCAUUCAGCAGGCUAGGACUUACCUCAAUGCAGAAGAUCUGCUUAAAGCAGAAACUGAAGAAAGUCUGGGCAAAGUGCAGACAACUUUUGAUAUUUUCAACUAUUUCAAGCAGACCUUUGAGGAAAGAAGAGACAAUCUCAGCACUUACUUUCAGCCAGGCCUAGAGGCAAAGGAGUGGGAUUUCCCUUCUAUAAUGGUUUUUGCACGACUGGAUAAUUUUCUAGAGAGGCUCCACAUGGUAAAUGACCUUCUGGUGACUGUGUUGGACAUAGAGAAACUGGAGAAGCUCGAAUUCAGCGGCAUAAAAGGGAAAUCUCUGAGCCAGCAAGUCCUGAGCAUGUAUGAAGAGUUCCAAGAGGCUUAUAAAGUGUUUUCUGAUCGUACAUAUGACUGCUUGGAUGUGGCCAACAUGGAAUUUGAAGAUGAUGUGUAUGACUUCAAGGAGAAAGUGGAAGAUAUGGAUCGGAGGCUAGGGAAUGCUUUUGCCCAGGCUUUCGAUGAUGCAGCUAGCAUAGAGCACGCAUUCAAGCUGAUAGACAUAUUUGGGAGUCUAUUGGAACGGCCACUGAUAGCAGCAGAUGCCUAUGCUAAAUAUCAUCUUCUCAUCACAAUGUUCGACAGAGACCUGGACGAUGCUAAACUGAUCUACCUGAAACAUAUUCAGGAGGAGUUGGAACUAGGUUGUCCUACAGUGCACAGGAAUAUGCCAUUGGUUGCUGGAGGAAUUCGCUGGGCCCAGGAAUUAAAAGACAGGAUCCAGAUCCCAUUUAGUAAUUUCAGGCAUGUCACCCACCUUUGCCUGGACUCUGCUGAAGGCAAAAGAAUGGUGCAGAAGUAUGAAGAUCUGAUGGAGAUGCUAGAAAAAUACCAAGAGAAGCUUUAUAAGGAGUGGUUCCAAACUGUGUCUGAAAAAUCGCAGUAUAACCUCACUCGACCGAUCAUCCGAAGGCAUUCGGAAAGUAAGCUGAUUGCUGUCAAUUUUGACCCUCAGCUGGUGUCAGUUUUGCGAGAAGUGAGUUACCUUGGGCCAAGCCAGACUGGGAAGAUACCAGAGGCAGCAGCAGAAAUCUUUUCUUCCAAGGAGUCCUUCCGGAAGCUGGUAGCCAACCUAGACUUGAUGGUCACCUGGUACAAUAAAAUCCUGCUCACAGUUCUGGAGGUGGAAUACCCCCUUGUACAGGACCAGCUGCAGGAGAUUGAUAGUCAGUUGAGAGAGGCAGAAGAAACAUUGAACUGGAAAACAGAAGGGCUUUGGGAACAUGUUUCACGACUAGUUGACGGUGUGCGAGAUCUUGAGCAAAGAAUCCAGAAAACCAAGGACAACAUUGAGGAAAUUCAGAAUAUAAUGAAGACUUGGGUCUUCCCAGUUUUUGAAAGAAAAGAUGGGAAGAAAGAAUCUCUGUUGUACUUAGAUGGUCGACCUGAACGACUUGACAAACACUAUCGACUCAUCACAGAUUCGGGACAUAAGAUCCAUUUACUAAUCAAGGAAAACUUGAGACUAUUUGCAGCAGAUCCAACUUCCGAUAUUUGGAAAGCUUAUUUGGAGCAUGUGGAUGAGAUUGUCCUUGAUGGAUUCUUUAAUGUCAUUGAAUGUUCACUGAAGUACCUUUUGGAAAACACAGAUUCCAAGGCAGGCCUUGCUCCUCUCUUCAAAGUGCAGCUGGAUUUGUCUGUUCCAGAGAUGAUAUUCCGCCCUUCUUUGGAUGCUGGUGCCUCUGAUGGUUUUUAUGAUUUGGUUGAGGCUCUUGUCAAUGAUAUAUAUCGAGUGUCUUCCCUGGUUCCCAGGCUUGCAGACCACAGCACUUUCUCCCAUUAUCAGGAUGACAUGGAGGAGAUGUCUGAACUUGCUGACAUGCGCCACAUCCUAAUGGAUCGUAUCCGGAAGAUGAUGUCAACUUGUUGUGACUACCGCAGCUCUUUUGACCACUACUCAUAUCUCUAUGUGGAUGACAGGAAAGAAUUCAUGCGCCAGUUCCUGUUGUACAGCCAUGUCCUCACUGCAGAGGAGAUAGAGGCCCAUGCUGAGGAUGGCGUCCCAGAGAGCCCCCCUACACUGCAGCAGUUCAAAGAGCAGAUAGACUCUUACGAGAAGGUCUAUGAGGAAGUGAGAUGCCUGGAGCCAGUCAUUGUAUUUGACAGCUGGAUGAAAGUUGAUGCCCGCCCCUUCAAGGUGUCCCUUCUGAAGAUAAUUAAGAAGUGGAGCUUUAUGUUCAAGCAGCACCUCAUUGAUCAUGUGACUCACAGUUUGGCUGACCUUGAAGAGUUCAUAAAAGUUGCUGAGAUUGGUUUGAGCAAAACGGUGGAGAGUGGAGAUUAUGAGGGCUUGGUGGAAGUUAUGGGCCACCUAUUGGCCGUUAAAGAUAGACAGACCAGCACUGAUGAGAUGUUUGAGCCCUUGAAACAAACAAUUGAAUUGCUGAAGAUCUAUGAGCAAGAAUUGCCAGGGGAAGUCUAUAAGCAGCUGGAGGAGCUGCCAGAAAAAUGGAGCCACGUGAAGAAGCUGGCAAUAACUGUGAAGCAUCAUGUAGCUCCUUUGCAGGGAAAUGAAGUGACGGUUCUCCGCAAGAAGUGUGCUGUGUUUGAUGUGGAGCAACAUAAAUUCAGGGAACGAUUUCACCAACAGGCACCAUUCAGGUUUGACGCAACAAAUCCCUACCAAAUGCUGGAUGCGUCCCACACAGAGCUUAUGCAGAUGGAAGUUACCAUGACCUCAAUUUAUGAGGCAGCUGAUUUGUUUGAAGUCAGUGUUCCAGAAUACAAACAGCUCAAGCAGUGCCGGAGGGAAGUGCGUAUUCUUAAAGAACUCUGGGAUAUGAUCUCCAUAGUGAUCUCUAGCAUGAAUGACUGGGAGACUACGAAAUGGCGAGAGAUUAACAUUGAAAACAUGGAGCUGGAGUGCAAAAAGUUCGCCAAAGACACGCGGAGCCUGGAUAAGGAAAUGAGGGCCUGGGAUGCUUUCUCCGGGUUGGACAACAAAGUGAAAAACAUCCUGACAUCUCUGAGGGCCGUGUCGGAACUGCAGAAUCCGGCCAUCCGAGAGAGGCAUUGGAACCAGCUGAUGCAAGCAACAGGUGUGCAGUUCACCAUGGACGCAGACACCACCCUGGCAGACCUGCUUAAACUCAACCUGCAUAACUUUGAGGAUGAGGUGAGAAGCAUAGUGGACAAAGCAGUUAAAGAGAUGAGCAUGGAGAAGGUUGUGAAAGAGCUGAAGACAACCUGGGCCAGCAUGGAAUUCCAGUACGAACCUCACCCCCGCACAAACGUCCCCCUGCUGAAAUCUGACGAGGAGCUCAUUGAGACCCUUGAAGACAACCAAGUCCAGCUGCAGAACCUGAUGACAUCCAAAUACAUCGCUUUCUUCUUAGAGGAAGUGUCUUUCUGGCAGAGAAAGUUGUCUACGGCAGACUCCGUCAUUUCCAUCUGGUUUGAGGUUCAGCGGACUUGGUCUCAUUUGGAAAGCAUAUUCAUUGGAUCGGAAGAUAUCCGGGCACAACUUCCGGAGGAUUCCAAGCGUUUUGAAGGAAUUGAUGUUGAUUUCAAAGAGCUGGCAUAUGAUGCUGAAAGAACCCCAAAUGUAGUGGAAGCAACCAACAAGCCUGGCCUUUAUGAGCAACUGGAAGAUAUCCAAAGCAGGUUGUCUUUGUGUGAAAAAGCUUUGGCGGAGUAUUUGGACACCAAGCGGUUGGCAUUUCCUAGAUUUUACUUUAUUUCCUCUGCCGACUUACUGGAUAUUCUUUCGAAUGGCACCAACCCGCAGCUGGUCCAGCGACAUCUUUCAAAACUCUUUGAUAAUAUGGCCAAGAUGAAAUUUCAGGUGGAUUCAGACCAAAGUUCGACCAAGCUGGGCUUAGGGAUGUACAGCAAAGAGGAGGAAUAUGUUAACUUCAGCGAGCCAUGUGACUGCAGUGGACAGGUGGAGAGCUGGCUGAACCGUGUGUUGGACCACAUGCGGGCCACUGUGAGACAUGAGAUGACAGAGGCUGUGAUGGCUUAUGAGGAAAAGGCAAGGGAACAGUGGCUUUUUGACUACCCAGCACAGGUGGCACUCACCUGUACUCAGAUUUGGUGGACCACAGAGGUUGGGAUUGCCUUUGCCAGGCUGGAAGAAGGCUAUGAGAAUGCCAUGAAGGAGUACUACAAGAAGCAAGUGACCCAGCUGAACACCCUCAUCACCAUGCUCAUAGGGCAGCUCUCAAAGGGUGACAGGCAGAAGAUCAUGACCAUCUGCACCAUUGAUGUGCAUGCUCGAGAUGUGGUGGCCAAGAUGAUUGCUCAGAAGGUGGACAAUGCACAGGUGUUUCUUUGGCUGUCUCAACUCCGACACAGGUGGGCAGAUGAGGAGAAGCACUGUUAUGCGAACAUUUGUGAUGCACAGUUUCUAUAUUCCUAUGAAUACCUUGGGAACACACCCCGCCUGGUCAUCACUCCUCUGACAGACAGAUGCUACAUCACCCUCACCCAGUCCUUGCACCUAACCAUGAGUGGGGCUCCUGCAGGGCCAGCUGGCACUGGGAAGACAGAGACUACCAAGGAUCUUGGGCGAGCGCUUGGCAUCAUGGUGUAUGUUUUCAACUGUUCAGAGCAAAUGGACUACAAGUCCUGUGGGAACAUUUACAAAGGCCUUUCCCAGACUGGUGCUUGGGGCUGUUUUGAUGAGUUUAACAGAAUUUCUGUUGAAGUCUUGUCAGUGGUGGCUGUACAGGUGAAAAGCAUACAGGAUGCCAUAAGGGACAAAAAGCAGAAUUUUAAUUUCCUCGGCGAAGACAUUAAACUAGUUCCCUCUGUUGGCAUUUUCAUCACCAUGAAUCCUGGCUAUGCCGGCCGUACGGAGCUGCCUGAGAAUUUGAAAGCUCUUUUCAGGCCCUGUGCAAUGGUUGUGCCAGACUUCGAGCUGAUCUGUGAAAUUAUGCUGGUGGCAGAAGGAUUCAUAGAGGCCCGGCUGUUAGCUAGGAAGUUCAUCACCCUUUACCAGUUAUGCAAAGAACUGCUGUCAAAGCAGGAUCACUAUGACUGGGGCUUACGUGCAAUUAAGUCAGUCCUGGUUGUUGCUGGAUCUCUCAAGAGAGGAGACCCAGACCGCCCUGAAGACCAGGUGCUGAUGCGCUCUCUUCGGGACUUCAACAUCCCUAAGAUUGUGACAGAUGACAUGCCAGUAUUUAUGGGUCUGAUUGGGGACCUCUUUCCUGCUUUGGAUGUUCCAAGAAAGCGAGAUCUCAGUUUCGAAUCUUUCGUGAAGCAAGCUGUGCUGGAACUCAAGCUGCAACCAGAGGACAACUUUGUGCUCAAAGUGGUGCAGCUGGAAGAACUCCUGGCAGUUCGGCACUCUGUCUUUGUGGUGGGAAAUGCAGGUACAGGCAAGUCACAGGUGCUGAAAUCUCUCAACAAGACCUAUCACAUCAUGAAGCGGCGGCCUGUUUGGAUGGACCUCAAUCCGAAGGCGGUUACCAAUGAUGAACUCUUUGGCAUCAUUAAUCCUGCUACAAGAGAGUGGAAGGAUGGAUUGUUCUCAUCAAUUAUGCGAGACCUAGCUAAUAUUACACAUGACGGCCCCAAAUGGAUUGUGCUGGAUGGUGAUAUUGAUCCAAUGUGGAUUGAGUCUCUUAAUACUGUCAUGGAUGAUAAUAAGGUGCUGACACUAGCAAGCAACGAAAGGAUUCCUCUCAAUCCCACCAUGAGGCUGCUGUUUGAAAUCAGUCACCUGCGGACUGCCACUCCUGCCACUGUCUCUAGAGCAGGGAUCCUUUACAUCAAUCCAGCUGAUCUGGGCUGGAAUCCUCCCGUGAGUAGCUGGAUUGACAGACGAGAAAUCCAGUCAGAGCGAGCUAACCUGACCAUUUUGUUUGACAAGUAUCUGCCAAUUUGUCUGGACACUCUUAGAACCAGAUUUAAGAAGAUUAUUCCAGUUCCUGAGCAGAGCAUGGUUCAGAUGUUGUGUUACCUCCUUGAAUGCCUCCUCACCAAGGAAAACACUCCUCCGGAUUGCCCCAAAGAGCUCUACGAACUGUAUUUUGUAUUUGCUGCUGUCUGGGCCUUCGGUGGGUCUAUGUUCCAAGACCAGCUUGUAGACUACAGGGUCGAAUUUAGUAAAUGGUGGGUGACGGAGUUCAAGACCAUCAAGUUUCCUUCCCAUGGAACAGUCUUUGACUUUUACAUUGACCCAGAAACAAAGAAAUUUGAACACUGGUCCAAGCUCAUCCCCAAAUUUGACUUUGAUCCAGAAAUGCCAUUACAGGCCUGCCUGGUACACACCACUGAGACCAUCCGGGUGCGAUACUUCAUGGAUCAGCUCUUGGAGAAACGCAGACCAGUCAUGCUGGUGGGAAAUGCAGGCACAGGGAAGUCUGUGAUUGUAGGAGAUAAACUGUCUCUGCUGGAUUCCGAGGAGUACCUGGUGAAGAACGUUCCUUUUAAUUACUACACCACGUCUGCCAUGCUGCAAGCUGUUCUUGAGAAGCCGCUGGAUAAAAAGGCAGGAAGGAAUUACGGCCCUCCUGGCACCAAGAAGCUUAUCUACUUCAUCGAUGACAUGAAUAUGCCUGAAGUAGACACUUAUGGAACAGUCCAGCCUCAUACACUGAUUCGGCAACAUCUGGACUAUGGGCACUGGUAUGACAGAAACAAGCUGUCCCUGAAGGAGAUCAUGAAUGUGCAGUACGUGUCGUGCAUGAAUCCCACAGCAGGCAGCUUCACUAUCAACCCACGCUUGCAGCGCCACUUCAGUGUGUUUGCUCUCUCAUUCCCUGGGUCAGAUGCUCUGUCCACGAUUUACAGCACCAUCCUAACUCAGCACCUGAAGCGGGGGAACUUCUCUGUGGCUUUACAGAAAUCAUCACAGCAGUUAAUAAGUCUGGCUCUUGCCCUGCACGUGAAAGUGGCGGCAACAUUCCUGCCAACAGCUAUCAAAUUUCAUUACAACUUCAACCUGAGAGACUUGUCCAAUGUCUUCCAAGGUAUUCUGUUUUCAACUCCUGAGUGUUUGAAGGCUCCCCAUGACUUAGUAAAGCUGUACUUGCAUGAAUCCAGUCGUGUUUACCGGGAUAAGAUGGUUGAUGAAAAGGACUUUGUCCUCUUUGAUAAACUGCAGACAGAGACGGUGAAGAAGUUCUACGAUGAAAUAGAGGACACCUUGGAACAGGCUAGGAAGAUGAACAUGUUUUGCCAUUUUGUAAAAGGCAUUGGAGAGCCCAAGUACAUGCCUGUUCAGAGCUGGGAGUCACUGAAUCAGAUUCUGGUGGAAGCCUUAGAGAAUCACAACGAGGUCAACUCUACUAUGAACCUGGUGCUGUUUGAAGAUGCCAUGUGCCAUGUCUGCCGUAUCAAUCGUAUCCUGGAAUCUCCCAGAGGUAAUGCGCUACUGGUUGGUGUGGGAGGAAGUGGCAAGCAGAGCCUGACGAGAUUGGCAGUUUUCAUUAGCUCACUGGAGGUCUUCCAAAUCACCUUGAGGAAAGGCUAUGGGAUUCCUGACCUGAAGGCAGACCUGGCAGCACAGUACAUUACAGCAGGUCUAAAGAAUGUUGGUACCGUCUUCCUCAUGACGGACGCUCAAGUGGCCGACGAGAAGUUUUUAGUUUUGGUAAAUGACUUGCUUGCUUCAGGAGAAAUUCCUGAUCUUUUUCCUGAUGAUGAAGUUGAAAAUAUCAUUGGUAAUAUGAGAAAUGAAGUAAAAGCCCAAGGAUUGAUGGACACCAGGGAGGCCUGUUGGAAAUUCUUUAUUGAUAGAGUUAGACGGCAGCUCAAGGUUGCUCUUUGCUUUUCCCCAGUGGGGAACAAGCUGAGAGUUCGUAGUCGGAAGUUCCCAGCCAUUGUUAACUGUACAGCAAUAGAUUGGUUCCAUGAGUGGCCCCGAGAAGCUCUGGAGUCAGUCAGCCUGCGCUUCUUGCAAGGGACAGAAACUAUUGAGGCUUCAGUGAAGGAAUCCAUAAGCAAGUUCAUGGCUUAUGUGCACACCAGCGUUAAUGAAAUGUCCCGUUCCUACCUGAGUAAUGAACGCCGUUAUAACUACACCACCCCCAAGUCAUUCUUGGAACAGAUUAAGCUCUAUCAGAAUUUGCUGCUUAAAAAGGAGAAAGAACUGACAGCAAAAAUGGAGCGGCUAGAGAACGGCCUGCAGAAGCUUAGCAGCACAUCUGCACAGGUAGAUGAUUUAAAGGCAAAGUUGGCAGCUCAGGAGGUGGAGCUGAAGCAGAAGAAUGAAGAUGCAGACAAACUGAUCCAGGUGGUGGGCAUCGAGACAGAGAAAGUCAGCAAGGAGAAGGCUAUUGCUGAUGAUGAGGAGCAGAAGGUAGCCCUGAUCACGCAGGAGGUCCAGCAGAAGCAGAAGGACUGUGAGGAGGACUUGGCAAAAGCUGAACCAGCCCUUGCAGCUGCUCAGGAAGCCCUCAACACACUCAAUAGGAACAAUCUGACAGAACUGAAGUCGUUUGGAUCGCCGCCUUCCGCUGUCAGCAAUGUCACUGCUGCCGUGAUGGUGCUCAUGGCUCCCGGCGGAAAGGUGCCCAAGGACAGGACCUGGAAAGCAGCCAAAGUGGCCAUGACAAAAGUGGACAGCUUCCUGGAUUCCUUGAUCCACUUCAACAAAGAGAAUAUACAUGAGAACUGCCUCCGAGCCCUUCAGCCGUAUCUGCAGGACCCGGAGUUCGAGCCUGAGCUGGUGACAUCUAAGUCCUAUGCAGCUGCUGGCCUCUGCUCCUGGGUCAUCAACAUAGUGCACUUCCAUAAAGUGUACUGCGAUGUGGAGCCCAAGAGGCAGGCUCUCAACAAAGCUAAUGCCGAGCUUGCUGCUGCCCAGGAAAAGCUGGCUAGCAUCAAGGCCAAAAUUGCACACCUUAACGAGAACCUGGCUAGGCUUACAGCCAAAUUUGAGAAGGCCACAGCAGAGAAGCUAAAAUGUCAACAGGAAGCCGAAGCCACAGCGAAGACCAUCUCCCUUGCAAAUCGCCUGGUUGGGGGCCUAGCCUCUGAAAAUGUGAGGUGGGCUGAAUCAGUGAAAGACUUCAAGCAGCAAGAGAGUGCACUGUGUGGAGAUGUCUUACUGAUAACUGCAUUCGUCUCUUACUUGGGUUACUUCAGCAAGAAAUACAGGCAGGACCUAAUGGACAGCGUAUGGAAACCAUACUUGCGCCAGCUAAAAGUUGCAAUCCCGUUGACUCCAUCUUUGGAUCCUCUGAUGAUGCUGACUGAUGAUGCUGACAUAGCAGCCUGGCAGAAUGAAGGGCUACCGGCUGACCGCAUGUCCACUGAAAAUGCUACAAUCCUCAGCAACUGCGAGCGCUGGCCGCUCAUGGUUGACCCCCAGCUCCAGGGCAUCAAGUGGAUCAAAACCAAGUAUGGUGAAGCUCUCCGAGUGACCCGGAUUGGGCAGAAAGGGUAUCUGGAUAUGAUAGAGCAGGCUCUUGCUGCUGGUGAAGUUGUUCUGAUUGAGAACUUGGAAGAAUCUGUUGACCCAGUUCUAGGUCCAUUGCUUGGCCGUGAGACAAUAAAAAAAGGAAGGUGCAUUAAAAUUGGAGAUAAAGAGUGUGAGUUCAACCCCAAUUUCCGACUGAUUCUCCACACCAAGCUUGCAAACCCCCAUUACCAGCCGGAAAUGCAGGCACAGUGCACCCUCAUCAACUUCACCGUGACUCGGGAUGGCCUGGAAGACCAGUUGCUGGCAGCAGUUGUCAGUAUGGAGAGGCCUGACCUGGAAGAACUAAAGUCUGAUCUCACAAAGCAGCAGAAUGGAUUCAAAAUAACUUUGAAAACUUUGGAAGACAACUUGCUGUCCCGCCUCUCUUCUGCCUCAGGGAACUUCCUAGGGGAUACAGCUCUAGUGGAAAAUCUAGAAGUCACCAAACAGACAGCUGCAGAAAUAGAAGAAAAGGUCCAGGAGUCGAAGGUGACAGAAACAAAGAUUAAUGAGGCAAGGGAGCAUUACCGUCCUGCAGCAGCUCGUGCCUCCUUGCUGUACUUUAUCAUGAAUGACCUCAAUACCAUCCAUCCCAUGUACCAGUUUUCCCUGAAGGCAUUCAGUGUUGUCUUUCAGAAAGCUGUUGCAAGAGCCUCGCCAGAUGAAAACCUAAAAGAGCGAGUAGCCAACCUUAUUGAUAGCAUCACCAGCUCUGUGUUCCAGUACACAACUCGGGGGCUGUUUGAAUGUGACAAACUGAUUUACACGGCCCAAGUCACUUUCCAGAUACUUCUGAUGAAUAAAGAAAUUAAUGCUACAGAACUUGACUUCCUGCUAAGAUAUCCAGCCCAGCCAGGAGUCACCAGUCCAGUAGACUUUUUGUCAAGUCAGUCGUGGGGUGGCAUCAAGGCACUGUCAUCCAUGGAACAAUUCCGCAAUUUGGACCGGGAUAUUGAUGGUUCUGCCAAACGCUGGAAAAAGUUCGUGGAAUCUGAAUGCCCUGAGAAGGAAAAGUUUCCUCAGGAAUGGAAGAAUAAGUCUGCUUUGCAGCAGCUGUGUAUGAUGAGAGCCAUACGUCCUGACCGCAUGACAUAUGCUGUCAGAGAUUUCGUGGAAGAAAAGCUUGGGAAUAAAUACGUGGCAGGAAGAUCUCUGGAUUUUGCAACAUCAUUUGAGGAGUCUGGACCUUCAACCCCAAUGUUCUUUAUCCUCUCACCUGGAGUUGACCCCCUGAAGGAUGUAGAGAAGCUUGGGAAGAAACUUGGCUACACCUUUAACAACAGGAAUUUCCACAAUGUGUCGCUUGGACAAGGCCAGGAGGUAGUGGCUGAGAAAGCCUUGGACCUUGCUGCAGCAGAGGGACAUUGGGUUAUCUUGCAGAACAUCCACCUGGUGGCCAAGUGGCUGAGUUCCUUGGAGAAGAAGCUAGAGCAGCACAGUGAAGGCAGUCACCCUGCAUUUCGUGUCUUCAUUAGUGCAGAGCCUGCGGCUUCACCUGAAGGCCACAUCAUACCACAGGGCAUCCUUGAGAACUCCAUCAAAAUCACCAAUGAGCCCCCAACAGGAAUGCAUGCCAACCUCCACAAGGCUCUGGACAACUUCAACCAGGACACCCUGGAGAUGUGUGCCCGUGAGAAUGAAUUUAAGAGCAUCCUUUUUUCCCUCUGCUACUUUCAUGCUGUGGUAGCUGAAAGACGCAAGUUUGGGCCGCAGGGCUGGAACCGUUCCUACCCCUUUAACACUGGGGACUUGACCAUUUCAGUCAACGUUCUGUACAAUUACUUGGAGGCUAGUUCAAAGGUUCCCUAUGACGAUUUGCGAUACCUCUUUGGAGAGAUCAUGUAUGGAGGACACAUCACAGAUGACUGGGACAGACGUCUCUGCAAGACCUACUUGGAAGAGUUCAUCAAGCCUGAAAUGUUGGAGGGAGAAUUCUUGCUGGCCCCAGGAUUUCCCCUCCCAGGGAACAUGGAUUACAACAGCUAUCACCAGUAUAUAGACAGUACGUUGCCUGCUGAGUCUCCGUACCUUUAUGGCCUCCACCCCAAUGCAGAAAUUGGAUUCUUGACCCAAACCUCAGAAAAGCUCUUCCGCACUGUUUUGGAGCUGCAGCCCCGGGACACCAGCCUUGGAGAAGGUUCAGGGGCCACCCGGGAAGAGAAGGUGAAGGCGCUGCUGGAUGAUAUCCUGGAGAAGCUAACUGAUGAGUUUAACAUUCCUGAGCUGAUGGCCAAGGUGGAAGAGAGGACGCCAUACAUUGUUGUUGCAUUCCAGGAAUGUGAGCGUAUGAACCUCCUUACUAGUGAAAUCAGGAGGUCGCUGCGAGAACUUGACCUGGGGCUCAAGGGUGAAUUAACCAUGACCAGUGAUAUGGAGAACUUACAGAAUGCCAUCUUCUUAGACACAGUACCUGAAUCAUGGACCAAGAGGGCUUAUCCUUCCAUGGCUGGUCUAGGCAGCUGGUUUGCUGACCUUCUUAACCGCAUCAAGGAGCUGGAGACCUGGACUGGGGACUUCCUGCUACCAUCUGUGGUGUGGUUGGCAGGAUUCUUCAACCCACAGUCUUUCCUGACAGCUAUCAUGCAGUCCAUGGCCAGAAAGAACGAGUGGCCUCUAGACAAAAUGACCCUGCAGUGUGAUGUGACCAAGAGGAACCGUGAGGAGUUCAGCAACCCCCCACGGGAAGGUGCAUAUGUUCAUGGCUUAUUUAUGGAAGGUGCGCGCUGGGAUAUGCAGGCCUUUGGCAGAUGAAGUAUAAUGUUUGGAAAUGAUUCCACCUGCUGCCUCUACAACUCAGUGAAGACACCUCAGAGAUGAUGCUGGACCAUCCUGUUGAUUAGCAGUAAACAUACAACAUACAGUCUUGUUAUGUACUUGAACCCAACCCAGCAGAAUGUAAUGCGGCUUGGCCUGUGCAAGAACUGACCUACAGGGGAUGCUAUAAUCACAGGAGGAACCAACCAAGGCAGCUGUAGGACAAUCUACACUUGCAAGUCACAGGUCAGAGAGGUGUUGCUGUUGGGUUUUGUUUUGUCUUUUUGCCUUACCCCUUUCCCUGGGAAAACUUGCUGUUUGCUGCUGAAUUGGAAGAAAUUUUGUUCCGAGUUCCGGAUUGGCGUUUGUUUCGAUUCAGCAGUAAACAGUAGGUUUUCCUUGGGAAAGAAACCUUUCAGACUCGUGACUUGAAUUCAUGGGAGAAACGAAAGUGUGGAUGAGCCCUGUGUCAGGGCUUGCUGUUUGUGUACACAUAAGGUAUAGAUUUCAUGUUAGCCAUUCUGGAAAAUUUUGUUGGAAGGUCAAUGUGAUAAAACGAAGGCUAAAUAAAAACUAAAAAUGGAAGGGCACACCUUAAAAUGUGAAAUUUGAAACCAGCAAAUAUGUUAUACAGGGAUACUUUGCAGGGAGCUGCAUUUGCCUCUGGUUCCCUGUUAUGUGUGCACAUGUUGCUGAACAUAGGUGAAGCAACUAAAAGGAAAAAAAAAGGCUGUUUGACUGAUUUUGGGGGAAGAACUGUCCAUGCAGCCAGAAGUGCCUUUGAAAUCUGCACUGUAGCUGCUCACUCAGCUACACGGACAAGCUCACAUUUCAAUUAAAAUUGG